GCCAGGCACCAUGUUGCAUGCCUGUAAUCCCAGCGACUUGGGAGGCUGAGGCAGGAGAAUCAUGAGUUCAAAGCCAGCCUCGGCAAAGCAAGGGGCUAAGCAACUCAGUGAGACCCUGCCUCUA
rnacentral:sRNA from 1 species